rnacentral:rRNA from 1 species
AAGCGUGCGCAGGCGGUUUUGUAAGUCAGAUGUGAAAUCCCCGAGCUCAACUUGGGAACUGCGUUUGAAACUACAAGACUAGAAUAUGUCAGAGGGGGGUAGAAUUCCACGUGUAGCAGUGAAAUGCGUAGAGAUGUGGAGGAAUACCAAUGGCGAAGGCAGCCCCCUGGGAUAAUAUUGACGCUCAUGCACGAAAGCGUGGGGAGCAAACAGGAUUAGAUACCCUGGUAGUCCACGCCCUAAACGAUGUCUACUAGUUGUUGGUGGAGUAAAAUCCAUGAGUAACGCAGCUAACGCGUGAAGUAGACCGCCUGGGGAGUACGGUCGCAAGAUUAAAACUCAAAUGAAUUGACGGGGGCCCGCACAAGCGGUGGAUUAUGUGGAUUAAUUCGAUGCAACGCGAAAAACCUUACCUGGCCUUGACAUGUAACGAACUUUCCAGAGAUGGAUUGGUGCUCGAAAGAGAGCGUUAACACAGGUGCUGCAUGGCUGUCGUCAGCUCGUGUCGUGAGAUGUUGGGUUAAGUCCCGCAACGAGCGCAACCCUUGCCAUUAAUUGCCAUCAUUUAGUUGGGCACUUUAAUGGGACUGCCGGUGACAAACCGGAGGAAGGUGGGGAUGACGUCAAGUCCUCAUGGCCCUUAUGGCCAGGGCUUCACACGUAAUACAAUGGUCGGUACAGAGGGUUGCCAAGCCGCGAGGUGGAGCCAAUCCCAGAAAGCCGAUCGUAGUCCGGAUUGUAGUCUGCAACUCGACUACAUGAAGUCGGAAUCGCUAGUAAUCGCGGAUCAGCAUGUCGCGGUGAAUACGUUCCCGGGGCCUUGUACACACCGCCCGUCACACCAUGGGAGUGGGUUUUACCAGAAGUAGGUAGUCUAACCUUCGGGAGGACGCUUACCACGGUAGUAUUCAUGACUGGGGUGAAGUCGUAACAAGGUAA